GCCCCGGUGGUGUAGUGGUAGCACGGUCCGCAGUUUGGAUGAAAUGCGGGUUCGACUUCCGUCUGAGGUU